rnacentral:misc_RNA from 1 species
CCUGGGUCGUCCUUCGAGGCUCCAUGAAGCUUCCAUUAAUGAUCCACGGAACGUCGGUUAGUCAUCCACCGAGGCUCCGUGAACCCUCUAUGAAUGAUCCACAAAACGUCCAAUCGACGUCCCAUGGACGUCUGUGAAGAUGUCUAAUGGAGGUCCAUUGGACGUGCGCAAAGCGGAACUAUGGAUUUCUAGUGGCUGUUCAUUGGAUGUCUAAAGGACGUCCACUGGAUGGUCUGAACCUCCAUGACAGACGUCCAUUGGACGUCCAAUGGAGGUUUUCGUUUUAUGUGGGUACACACAAAAGAUCUUUUAUUUAAUCCUUUUCUUAUCCGAAUCUUUUUUUUAAUUCACUUAAAUUAUUCAAGAUGGCGGACUCUUGUCACGCUCUCUUAUCGGUAGAAAUGUCUGCGCAGUAGCACACCUUGUUACUUCCACCAUGCAUACCACAUGAUGAACUCCGGUUUCGCCGGUAUUCGCAUUGUCGAUGCUACCGGGAACGUGAGUCUUUCUUCGCUGUUCGCUGUACUUGUGUAUGUUUGAUAAUUAAUUUACUGGCCAGAUGAGUUCCACAUUUUGUAUUAAGUGUCCCGUAUGUACAAUGCCAAUAUCAUUAAAGCAAAUGUAUAGCACAAGCUGUGGACAUUUAUUUCACUUUGUUUGUCUGCUGGAAUGGUUUGAUAGAGUGGAUUGUUGUCCACUGUGUCGCGAAGCGAUACUAUCACCUAUCUGUAUCAGGAGAGUUCAUCUCGUACUUACAAACGUUGUAUCCAACAUCGUGUUCGACCAUGAAUUCGACGAUAACGUCUAUGAUGACAAUGAAUACGCCAAUUUUACUGUGUCUGACUUGAGAAACAUGAUUAUCUUCUUGAACUAUAAGUAUGAACACCAUGAAUUUUAUGAGUGGAAACAUGAAGACAGAAAGAUAGCUUUGGAAUUACGAAACCAUAAACUUCAAGAAAAAAUGCAAAAUAUGGACGUCAAGAUCAAAGAGCAACAUAAUAUAAUUUCUCAUUUAAAGAAAAUUGCAAACUUUCCAGCAAAUAUUUCUUCAGAAUAUGAUGAUCUUAAAAAGGCACUGCUUGAAAGAGAAGAAAAACUCCAUAAACUCAAACGGGAAAACAAAGAAUAUCGAAAGAUUCUCAUAUCAAAAUAUGCAUUUCUAAAACAUCAACUGUGUGAAGUGCAGUCGUUAUUACAAGUAGAAAGGAGUGACAUUACUAACUCUCAAGAAAAGUCUUUACUGGGCAUGAACAAAAUACUUGUGAUAUCCUCUACGAUAUGUGUUACGAUUAUGAUAGGAUUUCGAAUUUGGAGACGAAUUUAAGGUACAUCUCUUUUCGGCUGAUGACUUUAGAACAGUAACUGAUAAGAGCAUUACAUUAGGAUUUUUAAGUAUUUUAUCAACCACUGCAAGUUCCUCACAAUACAGCACUAGAAAAAAUACUAUAAAGAGAACGUAUAAAGGCAUAAAAUAUGACAACGGAAAGGCCAUUAAUAAAAUAAAAGCUUACACGACAAUACCUUG